UAUAAACCUCAUUACCCCGUUCGGUAUGAGGGUGAAACGGGCCGUCCCCAUACCCCGUCCGGUAUGGGCGCCAAAACACAUAAGAUCUCCAUACCCCGUCCGGUAUGGGAGACCACAAUCCCGGUAGGGUUCCCUACGGACCCGGUCCGUCCACCAUCUCCAAGGAUAUCUAGUCAGGCUGACCACAUUAUACAAUUACCCAUUUACAUAAUCUAUCAUUCUCUUUUCCCUCAGUCAGCAUCAUCAAUCCACAUACAACAAGCAAAACAGUAAUUUAUGCCAAACAGACAACACACAGCAUCGAUAUCCUAGUCAUUUAAUCCAUAAUCAAUAAAACAGUACAAUAUGCACACAAAACUAUAAAAUGAAAACAUCAAACCUCAUACUGCAUUUAAAACUGUAAAACAUGCCAAAUAACAGUUAACCGACAAACACACUAGACUCGGGCUCCAUUAGCGACU
rnacentral:lncRNA from 1 species